UUAAUCGGAUUCACAUCAAUCCAUAUGUGUUUGAGUGGAUUUGAGUGAAACUUGGACUAAAUUUCACUCCAAUCCAUUGCAACACAUGUGGAUUGAGCUGAAUCCGACA
rfam:Sorghum bicolor cultivar BTx623 chromosome 1, whole genome shotgun sequence.